rnacentral:rRNA from 1 species
CACCUCUAAAAAUSGUGCAGAAUAAGGGGUGGGYAAGMCUGGUGUCAGCCGCCGCGGUAAUACCWGCACCCCGAGUGGUGGUCAYUAUUAUUGGGCCUAAAGCAUCCGUAGCCGGUUGUACAAAUSUUCCGGUAAAUCCACCUGCUUAACAGAUGGAAUUCCGAGGAUACUAUGCAGCUAGGAAGCGGGAGAGGCAAGAGGUACUYAGUGGGUAGGGGUAAAAUCCUGUGAUCCUUUGAAGACCACCAGUGGCGAAGGCGGCUUGCCAGAACGCGCUCGACGGUGAGGGAUGAAASCUGGGGGAGCAAACCGGAUUAGAUACCCGGGUAGUCCCAGGCUGUAAACGAUGCAGACUCGGUGAUGAAUAGGCUUCGUGCCUAUUCAGUGCCGCAGGAAGCCGUUAAGUCUGCCGCCUGGGGAGUACGGUCGCAAGACUGAAACUUAAAGGAAUUUGGGCGGGGGGAG